rnacentral:rRNA from 1 species
UGGGGAAUAUUGCACAAUGGGCGCAAGCCUGAUGCAGCCAUGCCGCGUGUAUGAAGAAGGCCUUCGGGUUGUAAAGUACUUUCAGCGGGGAGGAAGGCGAUAAGGUUAAUAACCUUGUCGAUUGACGUUACCCGCAGAAGAAGCACCGACUAACUCCGUGCCAGCAGCCGCGGUAAUACGGAGGGUGCAAGCGUUAAUCGGAAUUACUGGGCGUAAAGCGCACGCAGGCGGGCUGUCAAGUCGGAUGUGAAAUCCCCGGGCUCAACCUGGGAACUGCAUUCGAAACUGGCAGGCUAGAGUCUUGUAGAGGGGGGUAGAAUUCCAGGUGUAGCGGUGAAAUGCGUAGAGAUCUGGAGGAAUACCGGUGGCGAAGGCGGCCCCCUGGACAAAGACUGACGCUCAGGUGCGAAAGCGUGGGGAGCAAACA